rnacentral:miRNA from 1 species
CACAUCAUCAACAUCAACUCC